rnacentral:rRNA from 1 species
UGCCAGCAGCCGCGGUAACACGGGGGGCGCAAGCGUUAUUCGGAAUUAUUGGGCGUAAAGCGCGCGUAGGCGGUCUGUUAUGUCAGAUGUGAAAGUCCCCGGCUUAACCGUGGAAGUGCAUUUGAAGCUGGCAGACUUGAGUAUUGGAGGGGGUAGUGGAAUUCCCGGUGUAGAGGUGAAAUUCGUAGAUAUCGGAAGGAACACCGGUGGCGAAGGCGACUUCCUGGGCCAAUACUGACGCUGAGGCGCGAAAGCGUGAGUAGCAAACAGGAUUAGAUA